CCAGAGAACUUAGCAGAGAUGCUUUGGUGCCUUCGGGAACUCUGAGACAGGUGCUGCAUGGCUGUCGUCAGCUCGUGUUGUGAAAUGUUGGGUUAAGUCCCGCAACGAGCGCAACCCUUAUCCUUUGUUGCCAGCGGCUCGGCCGGGAACUCAAAGGAGACUGCCGGUGAUAAACCGGAGGAAGGUGGGGAUGACGUCAAGUCAUCAUGGCCCUUACGGCCAGGGCUACACACGUGCUACAAUGGCGCAUACAAAGAGAAGCGACCUCGCGAGAGCAAGCGGACCUCACAAAGUGCGUCGUAGUCCGGAUUGGAGUCUGCAACUCGACUCCAUGAAGUCGGAAUCGCUAGUAAUCGUAGAUCAGAAUGCUACGGUGAAUACGUUCCCGGGCCUUGUACACACCGCCCGUCACACCAUGGGAGUGGGUUGCAAAAGAAGUAGGUAGCUUAACCUUUGGGAGGGCGCUUACCACUUUGUGAUUCAUGACUGGGGUGAAGUCGUAACAAGGUAGGCGUAGCGAG
rnacentral:rRNA from 1 species